rnacentral:rRNA from 1 species
CCCUUAGAUGUUCUGGGCUGCACACGCGCUACACUGAAGGGAUCAGCGUGUUCUUUUCCUGGUCCGAAAGGAUCGGGUAACCCGCUGAACCCCCUUCGUGGUAGGGAUCGGAGCUUGCAAUUAUUCUCCGUGAACCAGGAAUUCCCAGUAAGCGCAAGUCAUAAGCUUGUGUUGAUUACGUCCCUGCCCUUUGUACACACCGCCCGUCGCACCUACCGAUUGAAUGGUCCGGUGAAAUCUCCGGACUGGCGUGAGUCGGAGCAAUCUGACAAACACCGGAAAGUUGAUUAAACCUUACCAUUUAGAGGAAGGUGAAGUCGUAACA